UGGGGGGCAAGUUGUCGAUGACGAAGUCUGACGGAGCACGCCGCGUGAGUGAUGAAGGCUUUCGGGUCGUAAAACUCUGUUGUUAGGGAAGAACAAGUGCUAGUUGAAUAAGCUGGCACCUUGACGGUACCUAACCAGAAAGCCACGGCUAACUACGUGCCAGCAGCCGCGGUAAUACGUAGGUGGCAAGCGUUAUCCGGAAUUAUUGGGCGUAAAGCGCGCGCAGGUGGUUUCUUAAGUCUGAUGUGAAAGCCCACGGCUCAACCGUGGAGGGUCAUUGGAAACUGGGAGACUUGAGUGCAGAAGAGGAAAGUGGAAUUCCAUGUGUAGCGGUGAAAUGCGUAGAGAUAUGGAGGAACACCAGUGGCGAAGGCGACUUUCUGGUCUGUAACUGACACUGAGGCGCGAAAGCGUGGGGAGCAAACAGGAUUAGAUACCCCGGUAGUCAAAU
rnacentral:rRNA from 2 species